rnacentral:rRNA from 1 species
AGCGAACGCUGGCGGCAGGCCUAACACAUGCAAGUCGAACGAAGUCUUCGGACUUAGUGGCGGACGGGUGAGUAACACGCGGGAACGUACCUUUUGGUUCGGAACAACUCAGGGAAACUUGAGCUAAUACCGGAUGAGCCCUUAGGGGGAAAGAUUUAUCGCCGAAAGAGCGGCCCGCGUUAGAUUAGCUAGUUGGUGAGGUAAAGGCUCACCAAGGCUACGAUCUAUAGCUGGUUCGAGAGGAUGAUCAGCCACACGGGGACUGAGACACGGCCCAGACUCCUACGGGAGGCAGCAGUGGGGAAUCUUGCGCAAUGGGCGAAAGCCUGACGCAGCCAUGCCGCGUGAAUGAUGAAGGUCUUAGGAUUGUAAAAUUCUUUUACCAGGGACGAUAAUGACGGUACCUGGAGAAAAAGCCCCGGCUAACUUCGUGCCAGCCGCCGCCGUAAAAC